rnacentral:rRNA from 1 species
UUGGUUAAGUUAGAAAGGGCGCACGGUGGAUGCCUUGGCACUAGGAGCCGAAGAAGGACGGGACUAACACCGAUAUGCUUUGGGGAGCUGUACGUAAGCGUUGAUCCAGAGAUUUCCGAAUGGGGGAACCCACUAUCUUUAGUCGGAUAGUAUCCUUACGUGAAUACAUAGCGUGAGGAAGGCAGACCCAGGGAACUGAAACAUCUAAGUACCUGGAGGAAGAGAAAGAAAAAUCGAUUUCCUGAGUAGCGGCGAGCGAAACGGAAAGAGCCCAAACCAAGAAGCUUGCUUCUUGGGGUUGUAGGACACUCUAUACGGAGUUACAAAAGAAAGUUAUAAAUGAAGCGGUCUGGAAAGGCCCGCCAAAGACGGUAACAGCCCGGUAGUUGAAAUGGCUUUCCCUCCAGAGUGGAUCCUGAGUACGGCGGAACACGUGAAAUUCCGUCGGAAUCCGGGAGGACCAUCUCCCAAGGCUAAAUACUCCCUAGUGACCGAUAGUGAACCAGUACCGUGAGGGAAAGGUGAAAAGCACCCCGGAAGGGGAGUGAAACAGUUCCUGAAACCGUGUGCCUACAAGUAGUUAGAGCCCGUUAAUGGGUGAUAGCGUGCCUUUUGUAGAAUGAACCGGCGAGUUACGAUUUGUUGCAAGGUUAAGCGGAAAAAGCGGAGCCGUAGCGAAAGCGAGUCUGAAUAGGGCGCAUAAGUAACAGGUCGUAGACCCGAAACCAGGUGAUCUACCCAUGUCCAGGAUGAAGGUAAGGUAAUACUUACUGGAGGUCCGAACCCACGCACGUUGAAAAGUGCGGGGAUGAGGUGUGGGUAGCGGAGAAAUUCCAAUCGAACUUGGAGAUAGCUGGUUCUCUCCGAAAUAGCUUUAGGGCUAGCCUCGAGGUAAAGAGUCAUGGAGGUAGAGCACUGUUUGGACUAGGGGCCCUUCUCGGGUUACCGAAUUCAGAUAAACUCCGAAUGCCAUGUACUUAUACUCGGGAGUCAGACUGCGAGUGAUAAGAUCCGUAGUCGAAAGGGAAACAGCCCAGACCACCAGUUAAGGUCCCCAAAUAUAUGUUAAGUGGAAAAGGAUGUGGGGUUGCUUAGACAACCAGGAUGUUGGCUUAGAAGCAGCCACCAUUGAAAGAGUGCGUAAUAGCUCACUGGUCGAGUGACCCCGCGCCGAAAAUGUACCGGGGCUAAACAUAUUACCGAAACUGUGGAUGAACCUCUUCGGAGGUUCGUGGUAGGAGAGCGUUCUAAGGGCGGUGAAGUCAGACCGGAAGGACUGGUGGAGCGCUUAGAAGUGAGAAUGCCGGUAUGAGUAGCGAAAGAAGGGUGAGAAUCCCUUCCACCGAAUAUCUAAGGUUUCCUGAGGAAGGCUCGUCCGCUCAGGGUUAGUCGGGACCUAAGCCGAGGCCGAUAGGCGUAGGCGAUGGACAACAGGUAGAGAUUCCUGUACCAGUGCUAAUUGUUUAACCGAUGGGGUGAC